UACAGGGGGGGCAAGCGUUGUUCGGAAUUACUGGGCGUAAAGGGCUCGUAGGCGGCCAACUAAGUCGGACGUGAAAUCCCCAGGCUCAACCUGGGAACUGCGUCCGAUACUGGAUGGCUUGAAUUCGGGAGAGGGAUGCAGAAUUCCAGGUGUAGCGGUGAAAUGCGUAGAUAUCUGGAGGAAUACCGGUGGCGAAGGCGGCAUCCUGGACCGACAUUGACGCUGAGGAGCGAAAGCUAGGGGAGCAAACAGG
rnacentral:rRNA from 1 species